rnacentral:tRNA from 1 species
GGCUUAGCUCAGUUGGUAGAGCGGCUGAUUUGUAAUCAGUAGGUCACGGGUUCGAAUCCUGUAGCCGG